ACUGGAGUUCAGACGUGUGCUCUUCCGAUCUAUCCUCCAAGGCUAAAUACUCGUGAUCGACCGAUAGCGUACCAGUACUGUGAAGGAAAGGUUAAAAGAACCCCGGGAGGGGAGUGAAAUAGAUCCUGAAACCGCAUACAUACAAACAGUAGGAGCCUCGUUAAGGGGUGACUGCGUACCUUUUGCAUAAUGGGUCAGCGACUUACGUUUAAUGGCGAGCUUAACCGUAUAGGGGAGGCGCAGCGAAAGCGAGUUCGAACAGAGCGUUCAGUCGUUAGGCGUAGACCCGAAACCAGAUGAUCUAUCCAUGGCCAGGUUGAAGGUGUGGUAACACACACUGGAGGACCGAACCGACUAGUGUUGCAAAAUUAGCGGAUGAGCUGUGGAUAGGGGUGAAAGGCUAAACAAAUCUGGAGAUAGCUGGUUCUCCCCGAAAACUAUUGAGGUAGUGCCUCGUGUAUGACUCCAGGGGGUAGAGCACUGUUAUGGCUAGGGGGACAUGGCGUCUUACCAAACCAUGGCAAACUCCGAAUACUUGGAAGUUUGAGCACGGGAGACAGAGCACCGGGUGCUAACGUCCGGACUCAAGAGGGAAACAACCCAGACCGCCAGCUAAGGUCCCAAAGUCUAUAUUAAGUGGGAAACGAAGUGGGAAGGCUUAGACAGCUAGGAUGUUGGCUUAGAAGCAGCCAUCAUUUAAAGAAAGCGUAAUAGCUCACUAGUCGAGUCGGCCUGCGCGGAAGAUGUAACGGGGCUAAACCAUGCACCGAAGCUGCGGCAGCGACGCUUAUGCGUUGUUGGGUAGGGGAGCGUUCUGUAAGCCUGCGAAGGUGACUCGUAAGGGUUGCUGGAGGUAUCAGAAGUGCGAAUGCUGACAUGAGUAACGUUAAAGCGGGUGAAAAGCCCGCUCGCCGUAAGCCCAAGGUUUCCUGCUCUACGUUCAUCGGAGCAGGGUGAGUCGGCCCCUAAGGCGAGGCUGAAAAGCGUAGUCGAUGGGAAACGGGUUAAUAUUCCCGUACUUGGAUAAACUGCGAUGUGGGGACGGAGCAGGUUAGGUUAUCGCACUGUUGGAUAUGUGCGUUUAAGUUUGUAGGUGUGAAGUUUAGGCAAAUCCGGACUUCUUUAACACUGAGAGAUGAUGACGAGGCUCUACGGAGCUGAAGUAACCGAUACCACACUUCCAGGAAAAGCCACUAAGCUUCAGGUUUAUCUAAACCGUACUGAAAACCGACACAGGUGGUCAGGUAGAGAAUACUCAGGCGCUUGAGAGAACUCGGGUGAAGGAACUAGGCAAAAUAGCACCGUAACUUCGGGAGAAGGUGCGCCGGCGUAGAUUGUAGUCCCUUGCGGAUGAAGGUUGAACCGGUCGAAGAUACCAGCUGGCUGCAACUGUUUAUUAAAAACACAGCACUCUGCAAACACGAAAGUGGACGUAUAGGGUGUGAUGCCUGCCCGGUGCUGGAAGAUUAAUUGAUGGGGUGCAAGCUCCUGAUCGAAGUCCCAGUAAACGGCGGCCGUAACUAUAACGGUCCUAAGGUAGCGAAAUUCCUUGUCGGGCAAGUUCCGACCUGCACGAAUGGCAUAACGAUGGCCACACUGUCUCCUCCUGAGACUCAGUGAAGUUGAAGUGUUUGUGAUGAUGCAAUCUCCCCGCGGCUAGACGGAAAGACCCCAUGAACCUUUACUGUAGCUUUGCAUUGGACUUUGAACCGAUCUGUGUAGGAUAGGCGGGAGCCUGUGAAACCACAACGCCAGUUGUGGCGGAGGCGUCCUUGAAAUACCGCCCUGAUUUGUUUGAGGUUCUAACCUGGGACAGUUAUCCUGUCCGGGGACCGUGCAUGGUAGGCAGUUUGACUGGGGCGGUCUCCUCCUAAAGGGUAACGGAGGAGUGCGAAGGUACGCUAGGUACGGUCGGAAAUCGUGCUGAUAGUGCAAUGGCAAAAGCGUGCUUGACUGCGAGACCCACAAGUCGAGCAGAUACGAAAGUAGGUCAUAGUGAUCCGGUGGCUCUGUAUGGAAGGGCCAUCGCUCAACGGAUAAAAGGUACUCCGGGGAUAACAGGCUGAUACCGCCCAAGAGUUCAUAUCGACGGCGGUGUUUGGCACCUCGAUGUCGGCUCAUCUCAUCCUGGGGCUGUAGCCGGUCCCAAGGGUA
rnacentral:rRNA from 1 species